GACUCGUUGGUGCAGUAGUUAGCGUAACUGACUGUUGCGCUGAGGGUCGUGGGUUCGAUUCCCACAUCAUUCG
rnacentral:tRNA from 1 species